rnacentral:misc_RNA from 1 species
AAGUCGUAACAAGGUUUCCGUAGGUGAACCUGCGGAAGGAUCAUUAACACGUAUCCAAACGUAAAAAACCCCCCCCGUGAACAUUCAAUCCUGCUCUUGUAACCCGCGUAGUUCGCAAUCUCUGGUAAAUCAUAGCCCGGAAAGUAGUUUUGAUUCAGAGACCUCUGGCUACGUGAGAACAUUGGAACAGUUACAAUCGAGCGGUAGUUUCAUAGGCAUUGUUUCCCCAAGCAGCGCUUCAACGAUUCCUGUAGACCGUACACUCGGGCAGGAGCUAUGCCAAAGGGUCCCCAUGCCCUUAUAACCCCACAGUUUAAUGUGAAGCUCAAUGUAAUACAUUGGUAAAAAAACCGAACAACUGUUAACAAUGGAUAUCUUGGUUCUC